rnacentral:rRNA from 1 species
GAUGAACGCUGGCGGCGUGCCUAAUACAUGCAAGUCGAGCGAAGCGGGGACGGGUGAGUAACACGUGGAUAACCUCCUAUAAGACUGGGAUAACAUCGGGAAACCGGAGCUAAACCGGAUAAUUAUAGAUGGAUCCGCGCUGCAUUAGCUAGUUGGUAAGGUAACGGCUUACCAAGGCAACGAUGCAUAGCCGACCUGAGAGGGUGAUCGGCCACACGGGAACUGAGACACGGUGCAGACUCCUACGGGAGGCAGCAGUGGGGAAUCUUCCGCAAUGGGCGAAAGCCUGACGGAGAAACGCCGCGUGAAUGAUGAAGGUCUUCGGAUCGUAAAGCUCUGUUAUUCGGGAUGCGGUACCUAGUCAGGAAGCCACGGCUAACUACGUGCCAGCAGCCGCGGUAAUUC